CCUACGGGCGGCAGCAGUGAGGAAUAUUGGUCAAUGGUCGGGAGACUGAACCAGCCAAGCCGCGUGAGGGAUGAAGGUACAGAGUAUCGUAAACCUCUUUUGUCAGGGAACAAAGGCGGGGACGUGUCCCCGGAUGAGUGUACCUGAAGAAAAAGCAUCGGCUAACUCCGUGCCAGCAGCCGCGGUAAUACGGAGGAUGCGAGCGUUAUCCGGUUUUAUUGGGUUUAAGGGGUGCGGAGGCGGUCUGUUAAGUCAGCGGUAAAAGCCGGGGGCUCAACCCCGGCCCGCCGUUGAAACUGGCAGUCUCGAGUUGGAGAGAAGUAUGCGGAAUGCGCGGUGUAGCGGUGAAAUGCAUAGAUAUCGCGCAGAACUCCGAUUGCGAAGGCAGCAUGCCGGCUCCACACUGACGCUGAGGCACGAAAGCGUGGGUAUCGAACAGGAUUAGAUACCCCUGUAGUC
rnacentral:rRNA from 1 species